rnacentral:rRNA from 1 species
GAUGAACGCUAGCUACAGGCUUAACACAUGCAAGUCGAGGGGUAACGAGAGGAAAGCUUGCUUUCCUUGUCGACGACCGGCGCACGGGUGAGUAACGCGUAUCCAACCUGCCCCCAACUAAGGAAUAACCUUGCGAAAGUAAGACUAAUACCUUAUAAUUUCCUCAGAUGUCAUCUGACGAGGAAUAAAGAUUUAUCGGUUGUGGAUGGGGAUGCGUCUGAUUAGCUUGUUGGCGGGGUAACGGCCCACCAAGGCAACGAUCAGUAGGGGUUCUGAGAGUAAGGUCCCCCACAUUGGAACUGCGACACGGUCCAAACUCCUACGGGAGGCAGCAGUGAGGAAUAUUGGUCAAUGGGCGAAAGCCUGAACCAGCCAAGUAGCGUGCAGGAUGACGGCCCUAUGGGUUGUAAACUGCUUUUAUACAGGAAUAAAGUUAGCCACGUGUGGUUAUUUGUAGGUACUGUAUGAAUAAGGACCGGCUAAUUCCGUGCCAGCCGCCGCGGUAA